AGCAGCCGCGGUAAUUCCAGCUCCAAUAGCGUAUAUUAAAGUUGUUGCAGUUAAAAAGCUCGUAGUUGAAUUUCGGGACCAAUUUGUUGGUCGUGCCUCGGUACGUACUGGUAUUAUUGGUUUCUCCCUUCUGAAGAACCAUGAUGCCAUUAAUUUGGUGUCGUGGGGGAAUCAGGACUGUUACUUUGAAAAAAAUUAGAGUGUUUAAAGCAGGCAUACGCUUGAAUACAUUAGCAUGGAAUAAUGAAAUAGGACGUUUGAUUCUAUUUUGUUGGUUUCUAGGAUCGACGUAAUGAUUAAUAGGGAUAGUUGGGGGGCAUUAGUAUUCAAUUGUCAGAGGUGAAAUUCUUGGAUUUAUUGAAGACUAACUACUGCGAAAGCAUUUGCCAAGGAUGUUUUCAUUAAUCAAGAACGAAAGUUAGGGGAUCGAAGACGAUCAGAUACCGUCGUAGUCUUAACCAUAAACUAUGCCAACUAGGGAUCGGAUGAUGUUAAUUUUUUUAAUGACUCAUUUGGCGCC
rnacentral:misc_RNA from 1 species